AAUGAACGCUGGCGGCAUGCCUAACACAUGCAAGUCGAACGAGACCCCUGACUUCGGUUGGCGGGUCUAGUGGCGCACGGGUGCGUAACGCGUGGGAAUCUGCCCUUAGGUCCGGAAUAACUCAGGGAAACUUGAGCUAAUACCGGAUGAUGACGUAAGUCCAAAGAUUUAUCGCCUAAGGAUGAGCCCGCGUAGGAUUAGCUUGUUGGUGAGGUAAAGGCUCACCAAGGCGACGAUCCUUAGCUGGUCUGAGAGGAUGAUCAGCCACACUGGGACUGAGACACGGCCCAGACUCCUACGGGAGGCAGCAGUGGGGAAUAUUGGACAAUGGGCGGAAAGCCUGAUCCAGACAAUGCCGCGUGAGUGAUGGAAGGCC
rnacentral:rRNA from 1 species